rnacentral:rRNA from 1 species
CAGGUAGUUGGUGAGGUAACGGCUCACCAAGCCUACGACGGGUAGCCGGCCUGAGAGGGUGACCGGCCACACUGGGACUGAGACACGGCCCAGACUCCUACGGGAGGCAGCAGUGGGGAAUAUUGCACAAUGGGCGCAAGCCUGAUGCAGCAACGCCGCGUGAGGGAUGACGGCCUUCGGGUUGUAAACCUCUUUUAGUAGGGAAGAAGCGAAAGUGACGGUACCUGCAGAAAAAGCACCGGCUAACUACGUGCCAGCAGCCGCGGUAAUACGUAGGGUGCGAGCGUUGUCCGGAAUUAUUGGGCGUAAAGAGCUCGUAGGCGGUCUGUCGCGUCUGCUGUGAAAUCCCGAGGCUCAACCUCGGGCCUGCAGUGGGUACGGGCAGACUAGAGUGCGGUAGGGGAGAUUGGAAUUCCUGGUGUAGCGGUGGAAUGCGCAGAUAUCAGGAGGAACACCGAUGGCGAAGGCAGAUCUCUGGGCCGUAACUGACGCUGAGGAGCGAAAGCGUGGGGAGCGAACAGGAUUAGAUACCCUGGUAGUCCACGCCGU